UACGAAGGGGCUAGCGUUGCUCGGAAUCACUGGGCGUAAAGGGUGCGUAGGCGGGUCUUUAAGUCAGGGUGAAAUCCUGGAGCUCAACUCCAGAACUGCCUUUGAUACUGAAGAUCUUGAGUUCGGGAGAGGUGAGUGGAACUGCGAGUGUAGAGGUGAAAUUCGUAGAUAUUCGCAAGAACACCAGUGGCGAAGGCGGCUCACUGGCCCGAUACUGACGCUGAGGCACGAAAGCGUGGGAGCAAACAGG
rnacentral:rRNA from 1 species